AUUAAUUUGAGAGUUUGAUCCUGGCUCAGGACGAACGCUGGCGGCGUGCCUAAUACAUGCAAGUCGAACGAACUCUGGUAUUGAUUGGUGCUUGCAUCAUGAUUUACAUUUGAGUGAGUGGCGAACUGGUGAGUAACACGUGGGAAACCUGCCCAGAAGCGGGGGAUAACACCUGGAAACAGAUGCUAAUACCGCAUAACAACUUGGACCGCAUGGUCCGAGUUUGAAAGAUGGCUUCGGCUAUCACUUUUGGAUGGUCCC
rnacentral:rRNA from 1 species